rnacentral:rRNA from 1 species
GAUAGCCUUUCGAAAGAAAGAUUAAUACCUGAUGGUAUGAUGAGAUUGCAUGAUAGCAUCAUUAAAGAUUUAUCGGUGUACGAUGGGGAUGCGUUCCAUUAGGUAGUAGGCGGGGUAACGGCCCACCUAGCCAACGAUGGAUAGGGGUUCUGAGAGGAAGGUCCCCCACAUUGGAACUGAGACACGGUCCAAACUCCUACGGGAGGCAGCAGUGAGGAAUAUUGGUCAAUGGACGAGAGUCUGAACCAGCCAAGUAGCGUGAAGGAUGAAGGUCCUGCGGAUUGUAAACUUCUUUUAUAAGGGAAUAAACCCUCCCACGUGUGGGAGCUUGUAUGUACCUUAUGAAUAAGCAUCGGCUAACUCCGUGCCAGCAGCCGCGGUAAUACGGAGGAUGCGAGCGUUAUCCGGAUUUAUUGGGUUUAAAGGGAGCGCAGACGGGUCGUUAAGUCAGCUGUGAAAGUUUGGGGCUCAACCUUAAAAUUGCAGUUGAUACUGGCGUCCUUGAGUGCGGUUGAGGUGUGCGGAAUUCGUGGUGUAGCGGUGAAAUGCUUAGAUAUCACGAAGAACUCCGAUUGCGAAGGCAGCACACUAAUCCGUAACUGACGUUCAUGCUCGAAAGUGUGGGUAUCAAACAGGAU